rfam:Danio rerio chromosome 7, GRCz11 reference primary assembly.
UCAAAGGUUCUUUUAAGAACCACCCACUUGCUCUUUAAAAGGCAAU